rnacentral:tRNA from 1 species
AAGGACUUAAGUUAAUAAAACUAUUAAUUUUCAAAGUUAAAAUUAAAAAUUUUUUUAGGCCUUA